UACACACAUAACUUUCCCCAUAAUGCCCCUCUCUCCUUUCAUCCUUACCAGGGAUUCACCUCAGCUGACCGGCCUCCACCUGUUCCAUCAAUACCCAAAAUGAAUCCCUGAUCAGGGAUGAAGAGAUAUGCUCAGCAUUAUUGAGCUCCUUGAGGAGACCAAGUAAGGAUCUGGUUCCAAUUCAAGUUGAAACAAUUACCGGUGUCCCCCCCUUCCCAUUCCCCCCUCUUUUAAAUAUGCUGUAAUAUUUUUGCAUCUUAAAUAUUUUCAUGCUGGGUUCCUUUCCAGGCAGCUAAUUAUAAACUUCAUUAUAAUAGUUCAUUAUAUUCUUCUAUUGUUCAAUUAGUUUAACAAGUUGCCAAGUGGAAUACAAGGCAGGCAAUUAGCUUGAUCUAAUGGCAAUGAACUCCUGAAUGUGGGUUACCAAAAAUAUCCUUUAUAGAGCUCUUCUUGCAAAUUUUACCAAUCAGUGAACAAUAGAAAAAAGAAAGAAAAGGGGACCGAAAAAAAGAGUGUGUCCAGAAAUUUAUCCAUGGGUGGAACUGCUCUUCUUUGCUUUUAUUAAACGGCAGUGUGAGUAGUGAAGGAGAACAUUAAAAUUCUACCACCACAAACUUUCUUCUCCCAUUCCUCAUAAAACACUGUGGGUAUGUCGUCAUCCCUGUCUUUGCUUUUUAUUUAAGGUUUAACAUGUUUGAUGCACUGAAUGGGCAAGAUCAUGAUCGUUUUGAUCUGAUCAAGUAUUUGUGAGCUUUUAAAUGGAGUGUGUGUAUGUGUGUGUUCAGAGCAAAGGUAUGAAAGAGAGAGAGAGAGAGAGAGAGAGAGAGAGAGAGAGUGCAAGCCAAACAAGAAGUUUGGACAGUGAUAAGAACAUAGGAAGGGAUCUGCAGCUGGAUCAGACCAAAUGCCCAUCUUCUCCAGCAUCCUGUUUUCACUGUGGCCAAGUGGGGUCCUAUGGCAAGCCCACAGGCAAGACAUGAGCACAACACCUCCCUCGUAGUAUGGCCUGCAACAGUGGAACCAGGUCAUGGGCAUCAUGGCUAGCAGCCAGCCAUUAAGAGCCUUCUCCUCCAUGAACUUUCCCAAUCCCCGUUUUAAGCUGUCUAAGUUGGCAGCCAUCUCACUAGUUCUUACGGGAAGAAAUUCCACAGUUUUAACUGUGUGCUGUGUGGAGUACUUCUUAUGAUCUGCCCUGAAACUCCUGACAUUCAGCUUCAGUAUCUAGCCCAGAGUCCUAACACGAGAGGUAGAAACAAUUCCUUUUCUCUCCAUUGUGCGUAACGUUGUACAUCCUCAGCAUCUCCUCCCUUUCUAGUCUUUUUUCCUAAACUCAAAAGCCUCAGAUGCUGUAACCCUUGCUCAUAUGGUAGCUCUCCCUUGAUCAUUCUGCUCGCCUGUGUGAAUGCCUCUUUUAAAAUCCACCCCACUAACAAUCCACAGGAUUCCUAACGUGGCACAGGAAGAUCUGACACUUCUCCCUCUUUAUCCAAUACCUCCCUGCAGCGAUGGCAUUGAUCACAGAAGGAGUUAAUGACAUGGCAGUCGAUGAAAUCACCAAGGAAUUAAGUUCAGGCUCAGGCAUUAUUAGCUCCUGACUUGAACCAGAACUUCUUGACAUCUUCUUGACAUCUGUUUCCGACAAAGACAAAAAGUGCAUGUACCCCUCAGCAUGCCACAAAGGGAAAUCGGGAUGCAUAUCCUUUGCUAAGAGAAUCAUAGACUCAUAGAACUGCAGAGUGGAGGGUUCCUGAGAGUCAUCCUGCCCAACCCACUGUUAGAAUUCCUGCUCCAUGAUUGCAGUCAUGGGAUUUUUGUCUAUCACAUGACGGUAUAUGUUUUGACUCCGCAGUGAUGGAGACAGGAUGUUUGUGUUACUGUGUUCCGUGAAGUGGGACUCUUGUCGUUUGUUCCUUUUCUCUUUGCUGUCUGAUGCUUGAGAGAGAAGGAGCCAUGUUGCAGUGCUGUCUGUGUGUUUAUAUGUAAAUAAAGUAGAUUAGCCAAAAUGCUGAGUUGCUGAGGUCUGUCACGCAAGUUGCGCAAACUCUGCGGAUCCCUAAGUGUGCCAGUGUCAGUUGGCGUCGGUCGCUGUGAUGUUCAGGGCAGAAGAAAGCUUAUGAAGCUCCCAAACGAUCGAACAGGAGGGAGAGAACAUGCCAGUUGGGCAUGUGUCUUUGCCAGGGUCAUACUCAAGUGUAAGCUGAACUCCUGACACCCACAACAAGGCCAGGAUCUCACCCCAGCAGGACAGGUUUACUGGAGACUGAGAGCGCGCACACUCCCCUUAAAGCCGGCUGCCUAUGAAGAAUGUAGGCAGUCGGGAGACAGAGAGGAGGUGUGGCAGGAGCCAGAGCUGGAGUCCGCUGCCUUCUGCUCCAACACUGGACAGAGGUAGCCGCCCUCUAGCCAGUACCAGUGCUGCCACUCAGGGACUAUGGGCACCCACAUAGCCAUCUGCCUCCCAGCCAGGAUGGGGCACAUGUCACACCUUUUGCAUGGCUGCACACUCUUCUCUGCUCACUCAGAUGCCUGAGGAAUUUGGAAGUACCUGCUGUGGCUGCCACAGUCAAGGGCGAGAGCCGCAGGGCUAAAAUCUGGGGUGUCUCGAUUAAAUCAGGACAGUUGACGGGUUUGAGUCUGACAAGCUCUCCGCUCUUGACACCAGCUGGGAUUUAACCCUCAAUUGAGACAGGUGUGUGUGCCUGAGACAAAGAUUAUGGUGGCUUGCUUAUGGCACAGUGGCAAAACUGUGAUAAUAAAGAGUGGGGAAUUCAGCAUUAUUGUUCAAACCAUCUAGGCAGAUUUUAGAAUUUAAGAAGAGUCCUUCUGGAUCAGGCCAAAGGCCCACUUAGUCCAGCAUCCUGUUCUCACAGUGACUCUUGAAAUGACUCUGGGAAGUCCACCAGCAGGGCGUGAUUCUGUUUUGAGGCAUAGCUAAGUACACAGAUCCAGUGUGAGAAGUUUGAACAUUCUUAAAAAUAGGACAAUUAAUGGCCAGUAUAUUGUCACACCCAGCUGGGGACUUCACAGUGGACCUUCUUUGUGGUAAAACAGACAGCUCAUCGCAAGAGCAGCAGCUGUAGAAAUAAUGACGUAGAGCAGUCUUUGCCAACCUCGUGUCCUCCAGAUUUUUGGGUCAACACCUCCCAUGCAGGUGGUGUCAAGAUACAAACAGGCCUUCACAGGGGUGACUCCCUGUCUGUGGAAUUCUCUCUCUCCAGGGAAGUGCACCUGAUGCCUUCAUUGUUUCCUUUAGGUGCCAGGUUAAAACAUUUCUGUUAACUCAGGCCUCCUGGCCAUCGCUUAGUGGGGUGGGAAGAAUUGGAUUAUUUAUCUAGGAUGAGCAUGUCCAGGUAUUGUGUCUUAUAUUGGUUGUUGUUGUUGUUUUAAAGUGUUUUAAUGCCUUUUAAAGAUGCCUGCUUCUUGGGAGAAAAGCAAUGAGAAACCUAGACAGCAUCUUAAAAAGCAGAGACAUCACCUUGCCAACAAAGGUCCGUAUAGUUAAAGCUAUGGUUUUCCCAGUAGUGAUGUAUGGAAGUGAGAGCUGGACCAUAAAGAAGGCUGAUCGCCGAAGAAUUGAUGCUUUUGAAUUGUGGUGCUGGAGGAGACUCUUGAGAGUCCCAUGGACUGCAAGAAGAUCAAACCGAUCCAUUCUGAAGGAAAUCAGCCCUGAGUGCUCACUGGAAGGACAGAUCCUGAAGCUGAGGCUCCAAUACUUUGGCCACCUCAUGAGAAGAGAAGACUCCCUGGAAAAGACCCUGAUGUUGGGAAAGAUGGAGGGCACAAGGAGAAGGGGACGACAGAGGACAAGAUGGCUGGACAGUGUUCUCGAAGCUACCAGCAUGAGUCUGACCAAACUGCGGGAGGCAGUGGAAGACAGGAGUGCCUGGCGUGCUCUGGUCCAUGGGGUCACGAAGAGUCGGACAUUACUAAACGACUAAACAACAACAACAAUGCCUUUUAUGCGGGAAGACACCUUGAGACACUCUUCUCUGUGUGAAAAGUGACAAAGAAAUAUAUUAGAUAAAGGAAUCACUAAAUGAUUUUGGGAAUGGGCACAGAUCCUAACCCCAGUCACCCACAGCUUCUCUGGUUUAACCACAAAGAAGCAAAAUGCUAGGUCAUAAUUUCCUUUCAUUUUAUGAAUUCGAAUAUCUGAGGCCUGGGACCGAACACUCCCAGUCAGGGGCUGGUCCCCAUGCAUUUCUCUUUUUACCUCAACAAUUUUAAAUUCAAACCUGGGAAAUCCAACUGAAUGCCACCUGUGUGCCGUUUUCCAAUUCAGCGCCACUUUGAUUCCCUUCAGUCGCGAGCGUCACCGUCUGACAAACCCCCUCGCUUUGACAGAUGGAUGAGCUUUGUGCUAUCCUCCCCUUAAUGUGCUCCCUCGGUGCUCUUACAAAAUUUCCUCUCAGGGAUUCUUGUUCCUAAGCAGAAAGAGAGAGAUAAAUGGCUUGUCGCGUUGGAGAGAUGAAUAACCACACCCAGGACGGUUCAUAUGCUGCUUUCUCCCUUCCUCCCGUCUCUCUCUCUCUCUCCCUUUCUUCCCCCCUCAGCAAAAUCCUCCUAAUGUGGUGUCAUAUCUCCUCACGAGCUCUAAUUAGUCUCUCCUUUCCAGUUGUGAGGGGGACGGAUGUCAACAAGUCUGUUCCCAUAACAGGCUGGAGAUUAAAGAUGAUGGCUGCCACCCAAGGCGAAGGGCGCUGAGGAGCUGGAGAGCCCAUGGGGAGAUCACAGAGGGAGAAAUCCACAUCUGCAACUCUCCAAAAUCCAGGCGACUGCCUCAUCAGUAAUUCAGGUCUCAGCGGAGAGAACCGUUCCGCCUAAUGAGGACACUUCCGUGCUGGAGGGUUAGCAUUUGUGCGCAUCUAUCUGUUGCCAGGAUGCUCUGACAAGACUAUUUCUCCCAAAAUGUCAAGCGGGCAGAAGAGGCAAGAAAAAGCCAGUUUUGUUGAUGGAAGUGCCCUGCCCUGGUAGAAUCAUAGAACUGCAGAGCUGGAAGGGACCCUGGGGGUCAUCUAGUCCAACCCUCUGCAAUGCAGGAAUCUCAGCUAAUCUAAUGACAGAUCCCACUCGGCUUUUCCUCAGUUUCUCAUUUUGCCAAUCUUAAACUCAGCUCUCCACAUUCUCACAUUGGUUUUGGAUUUUUUUUUUUUUGGCUCGCUAAAUUCAUCGGCAUUUUCGUGUGAAUUUGUCCUACCGCACACAUUUUUCCAACCAAUUUUCAUUAAUUAAUGCAUUUUUUACUAAAUAAAUAAAUAUUUAUUAUUUAUACCCUGCCCAUCUGGCUAGGUUUCCCCAGCCACUCUGGGGGGCUUCCAACAAAAUAUUAAAAUACAGUAGUCCUUCAAACAUUAAAAGCUUCCCUAAACAGGGCUGCCUUCAGAUGUCUUCUAAAAGUCUGGUAGUUGUUUUUCUCUUUGCCAUCUGAUGGGAGGGCGUUCCACAGGGCGGGUGCCACUACCGAAAAGGCCAUCUGCCUCUGCCUGGUUCCUUGUAACUUGGCUUCUCGCAGCGAGGGAACCACCAGAAGGCCCUUGGUGCUGGACCUCAGUGUCCGGGCAGAACGAUGGGGGUGGAGACGCUCCUUCAGGUAUACUGGACCGUGGCCAUUUAGGGCUUUAAAGGUCAGCGCCAACACUUUGAAUUGUGCUCGGAAAUGUACUGGGAGCCAAUGUAGAUUUUUUGAGAUCGGUGUUACCUGGUCUCGGCGGCCACUCCCAGUGAACAGUCUAGCUGCCGCAUUCUGGAUUAGUUGUAGUUUCCGGGUCACCUUCAAAGGUAGCCCCACAUAGAGCACAUUGCAGUAGUCCAAGUGGGAGAUUAUCAGAGCAUGCACCACUCUGGAGAGACAGUCUGCGGGCAGGUAGGGUCUCAGCCUGCGUACCAGAUGGAGCUGGUAGACAGCUGCCCUGGACACAGAAUUGACCUGCGCCUCCAUGGACAGCUGUGAGUCCAAAAUGACUCCCAGGCUGCACACCUGGUCCUUCAGGGGGCACAGUUACCCCAUUCAGGAGCAAGGAGUCCUCCACACCUGCCUGCCUUCUGUCUCCCCAAAACAGUACUUCUGUCUUGUCAGGAUUCAACCUCAAUCUGUUAGCCACUAUCCUUCCUCCAUUUCUGUGGACACUUUACCCCAGUAUGUGCAUUUUUCUUCAACUUAGGGCUUGUCCAUAUUUCCACUUUUUAUGUGACCAUAAAGCAAAUAUGUGAGAGUUUUCUGGUUGUCCUAUGCACAGAGAGGUUUUUGUUUAUCCUGCCACUUUCCCUGGGAAAACCUGCUUUUUCCUGCUGAAUUGGAACAAUGCCUGAACACUAUAGUUUACCCCUCACAGAGCUACACCCUUAAAGAACUACAUCUCCCAGGAUUCUUUGGGAGAAAUCAUGUGCUUCAAAUGUACGGUGGAUCUCUACAUAUUUCCUUUUCUUCCUCCUUGUUUAAUAACGGUUACAAGAUCAGGCUCUGUUGCCACCAUCUACUGAUUGUAACAUUAUUACACCUCACGCGCAAUCGAGCAUAAAGGCCCAUAUCACUCCAAGACAUCUAUAGUCUCUAAAACAGAGCCUGAAAGAUUUUUAUCUUGAAGGGCAGCCCCAGAGACAAAUGCGCAAUGCCCAGCUCAUUAAUUUCUUUUGAAAGAGAGGCUCUCUUUCAUCCAUGUGUGGCAAACAACCCCAUAUUACAGUCAGCUGUUUCCUUUACCUUAGAAACUUCACCAAGAUCAGUGUAAAUCUUCCCACCAAAAAAGGUAAAGGCAAAGGACCCCUGACAGUUAAGUCCAGUCGCAGAUGACUCUGGGGUUGCGGCGCUCAUCUCGCUUUACAGGCCGAGGGAUCUGGCGUUUGUCCGUAGACAGUUUUUCCAGGACAUGUGACCAGCAUGACUAAGCCGCUUCUGGCGAAACCAGAGCAGCACACGGAAACGCCGUUUAGCUUCCCGCCGGAGUGGUACCUAUUUAUCUACUUGAACUUUUGGGCAUGUUUUCGAACUGCUAGGUUGGCAGGAACUGGGAUGAACAACGGAAGCUCACCCCGUUGCGGGGAUUCGAACCACCAACCUUCUGAUCAGCAAGCCCAAGAGGCUCAGUUGCUUAGACCACAGCACCACCCGCCUCUUUCCAACCAUACAUAAAUUACUCCGAAGUAACGUGGGUCUGUCUGUCGCUCUGAACCAGCUUCUGCCAAACUAGCAGUUCAAAAGCAUACCAGCGCAAUGGUGAACGACAUUUCUCUGUAUUCUGGUCCUCUGUGCAGCAGUAGCAGCCCAUGGUCAACUGGGCUUCACUGUCCAGGGUUCCUUUACCUUUACUCCAAAGAGCACAAUGUCCCGUCAAAAUUCUCAACAGAAUGACUUUCUCAGCUCCCUUCUUAACUUGAAAAACCAAAAAUCUGGCUCUGCGCUUUCACUCAGGCCUGCUGCUGCCUUUGCUCCUGGGUCUGAUCUUGGCUGGACUAAAGUGCUGGUGGUCUCAUGAACCUGUGUCAUGGGCUGGCUGGAUGCAGAGGAGUGGGUGGGGGGAGGCACCAGCUUGGGAACCCCCAAGGGAAGAAGGCUCAGAGCCAGGGGACUGCUGGUGGGAUGACAAUGCAUGGUCAGAGGGAGAAGAGGGAGCAGACUGGGAGGAGGAGGUGUCGGAAGCUUAAGAAGUAACAGGGUUUAGUGAGAUGGGAGAGACUGUGGCAGAGAGCAGUUCAGGAUUAGAGGAAGAAGUAGAGGCUGUUGAGGAGGGCGGCCAAAAAGCAGAGAUGAAUCAGGCUGAUGCAGAAGUCAGGGGGCUCCCCCUCCUGCUGCAACCAGCUUCCCUCCCCGCUGGAUUCACAGAACCAGAAAAGAUAUGAAGAGGGUGGAGCACAGCCAGACAAGGCGACAAAGUCCCAGACUGCUUUGGAAGGACCUGGGGGAGGAGGAGCCUUCGGAAGUUGUGGGAAGGCGGAGGCCUUCAGUCCUCACGUCUCAUUGGGGCAAGAUCUACUGGGAAGAGUUGCUGUGCUCACUAGGCCUGGCCUCCUGAGCUUUCUUGCUUCUUUGAAUAAAGAGUUAACUUCACUGACGCCAUGUGAGUUAUUGCUGACCUGCUCCUGACAAGCAGAGUAUUUCCCAGUAUGGUGGUCUCAGGCUCGUCAUUGGUGUCUUCUCAUGUCCUCUUGAACUUGGUAAGGAGCUUCUCUUCCUCUCUGGUCCAUUCCAGUCCUAGGCUGGUACCACCAGGAAGUGGAGAGACACAACCAGCAGAAAUUGGGUCAAUAACGGACUGGUGGCUUAUGAGUGGAGCCAAGCAAAUCCUGAAGGUCAUGGAUGGCAGAACGUGGAACUUCUUUGCGCUGGGUUCUCCAACAGAACAUUCCAUGGCCAGCAAGUGGAUUUCUAGGUGGUCAUUACAUGGAGCAGCAGUUAAGGUGUUGGAAAUAAACUGGGAGUGGUCCUGUCCUGUCCUGCAGUCUGACAAGGCCAGGCUCAUCUUUGGGGAAUGCAGAGGUCUGAAAUUGCCCCAGCAAGGAACAAGCCUAAACUGAACCCUUUCAUAAGAGAUAACACCAGGUGCAGCCUAACUAUUAACACCAGUUGUGUUGCAAGAUGCUUAAAGGGUUCCGGACUUCUCCGGUAACUUCCAGAUGUGACAGAGCAGGAGAAGCUCAAGUCUUCCAGGGUCUUUCACAAUGUGGACCUCAGAGUCAGACAGUGCCACACCUUCAUUCUGGGAGCAGGUGGUGGACCCACAGGUUCACUGCUAUAGCCAUGUCUCUGGGGCUGGCACAGGGUGCCCUUCAGAACCCUUGACUCUGUCACCUGAUGAAGAAUCCAACUCCUGAUCUCUGACAGAUCCAAGUUCAAAUCCCUCCUCAGCCACAGAGCUUGCUGGGUGCCUUUGGACAACAGGCUUUCAGUUGGACCUGACUUUACAGGAUCAUCGUGAGAGUAAAACUGUGCAGGCAUGUCACAAAACCUCUUUGAAAGAAGAGAGGGAUAAAAAUGUAAUAAAUGUGAACCAAUUCCUAGACUCUGGCUUGAGACGGUUAACCUGGACCAGUGCCCAGCCAGCUUGGUUGUGACCUUUUUGUGAAGAAAAACUAAACUGGCCUCUUUCUUUGGGUGGAAAGGAGAGAAUAAUGGGAGAGGCUGAGAACUAUGCAGGCUUUAGAUGGAGAUGGGGCAAAAGAAAAAAAAGGAACAGCAGGUCAUUUGGAGAACAGCUAUUAGCCCGAUCCCAUUCCUUUGUCACGAAUUCAAAAGCCCCAUUAUUCUUGAUGCCUGCCCCUCCGCUUCUACUUGACCCCAGAGCAGCUGCCAAUUCUUCAUGAACUGUGCCACUAGUGUCCCCUCCCUCUGCCCCUCCACAACUCACUGUGAAGACAUCUAAAGCAGGGCAACCUCUCCGCAGCCCUUCCUCUUUCCUUGUUCCUUCAGUUUGACUUGCAGACCAAGUUUCAUUUGUGUUGUUGAGGAUACAGUCUAGGAUGGAGGGAUGGAGGAAUAUGCCAAUUCUGGUUCCUCUCAGUGUCUCAUUUUGCCCAGUCUUAAGCUUGGCGCUCCACAUUUCCACAACAGUUCGUUCUUUUGCAUUUUAGUGAAAAGUUCUCCUAAUAUACCCAUCUGUGCAUGCUGUUUUGUCUAAUAUAAACAUCUUUGCAAAGCAUUUCCCCACAAUGUAAUGCAUUUUUGCAGUGUCAUUUUCACUAAUACAGUGGUACCUUGGGUUAAGAACUUAAUUCAUUCUGGAGGUCCGUUCUUAACCUGAAACUGUUCUUAACCUGAGGUACCACUUUAGCUAAAGGGGCCUCCCGCUGCUGCCGCGUGAUUUCUGUUCUCAUCCUGAAGCAAAGUUCUUAACCCAAGGUACUAUUUCUGGGUUAGCGGAGUCUGUAACCUGAAGCGUCUGCACCUGAGGUACCACUGUAUGUGCAUUGAAUGCACACUUUACAUGAGUAGAUGCAUUUUUACACACUACUUGAGCUGGAGAAUUGCAUUGCAAAAUUCAGGGAAGUGCAGAUUUCAAAGGGUGGCUAGUUGCUGAAGAAAGUGCAGAUUUAGAUAACUUUGGCUGUCAGUGAGAACUGAAUCGAAUUCCUCUUCUAAUUUCUACCAGGACAUCACACCCUCUGGUAGUUGUCAUUGACCUCUUUCAAACUGUGAUAAAUUUUCAUUCCCCCAGCACAGCAGUAGAGGCUCAUGAAAUCAUAAUUAAUACACUUUCCCGCUUUCAUUCUUUUUUUGUUUCUUUUAAACGAAGAAAAUCCUACAGUUCAAGCUUCCCAAACAACCUCCCAUCUGCCUCACAUGCUGUGGCAAUGAACUCUUCCAGAUGGCAUCUGAGCAUCCUCACGGAUGGCUCUGCGUGCUAAUGGCUCCCAGCUAAUUCUUAAUAACGAGCGAGAGAACAUCUGGAAUGGAUCUGGGUGCCUUGUUAGAGUCCCUUUUACCUGAGCAGAGAAACUGCAAUUAUGCUCUGACAACGGGAAUAUUAGAAUUAAUUGCACAGCACAAGGCGGGACUACCCUGCUCUCAGAGGGCAAUUUUGGUUAGGGCAAGUCGAGUUCCUUCCGUUGGCAAGAAAUACCAUGUGGAAAUAAUGAGCUGUGUUUUUGUCCAGACCUAUGCCACUUCUAGCAGUUCAAGAAGCCUAGAAAUUUCAAAGACCUGUAGCCAGAUGCAAUAUUACUGAAUUAUAUCUAUGGCAGUUUGUUCCAAUUCCUGGCCUAAGGGCUGCAUGUGGCCCUUGAGGCCAUUUUUUGGUUGCCCUUGGCAACUUCUGAGGCCCCCAAUCUGGUGUCCCCCAGAUGUUGGACCACAACAGGAGCAGGAACAUUUUACAUCCCAAGCCUUCACACACCUCUCUCCCCCCUUCAUCCAAGGCAAAGAGGCAUUGUCAGAGUUGAAGAGUGUUUUUCCAGCCAGGCAAAAGCAAUAAUGGAGGGUGCAAAGCAAGACCAGUGGGGAGGGUGGGUGGAGUGGCCUGGGGAGAGUGCUGAGGGGCCAGAGAGAAAGGCUAGGAGGACUCCAUUCAGCCACCAGACCUGUCCUUCUCCACUACUAGGCUCCAAGAUCUGAAGACCAUCAGGUUGGGACAGCCACAUAUGUGUUACCCAUGAGUUUAUUCUUGAAGAAGUUUCACCUUGGCUGCUUUUGACCAGUGUUGGUGCUUCCUCUCACUUGCCUGCUGCUGUGUGACAGGAGGUUUUCUCUGUCUUGACUCUUCUAAAUUCUGCCACUCAGGAUUGAAGGGACGUGGACAGGUCCUUCAGCCCUGCUGUGAUUUGCGAUGCCCAAAGGACCAGCCCUUUGUUCAGCUUCCUGGAAGAUGUUCUCCAUCCACCCGCACUUUCCUGUCCACCUGCUGAGAUCUCUCAUCACACAAAUGAAGCGUUGCCAGCUUCCUUCUUCCAGGCUGUUGCUGCUCAAUGAGGCGUUGUAUGCGAAACUUCUUCCUCAUCCAGUAGUUGCAACAAAAUUCUGUGAGUUUGAUUCCACCUGCAGCUCUCCUGGUUAACGCUGUCGCUUUAUGGAUUCUGGUCGCCAGGCGGUGUGGGAGGAAAGCUUGGUGCUGUCUGGAGGUGCUGGGAUUUGUGCACAGUUCACUGUGCGGUGAACCACUGAACUGCGGAUGGCAGCUUCUUAGCAAAGUACCUUCUGGGCUGCUGCUGUCUACCCAGACUGGUCAUUAGAUCUCCUUGAGAUUGCUUGUAGCUCUCUCUAGUCAUGUUUUCUGUUCCCCCCUCCAUAUAUAUAUAGCAGUAUCAUCUGUGGUGCAAAUAUAUGUUAUAUGACUAGUGAUGCUUGAGGAAUGAAAUCUUUGCAAGUCCCUACAUGAGAUGAUCUGAUCCACACCUCAGAGUAAUGUGCAGACUGAAUUUAGCAACCCACCAGGUUUUGCACUUUCUCCAAAUGUUGGAACGCCGUUCUCUGCAAUCUAAGCUAAAUAAUAUCAAACAUGCAUUUUAAUCCACGUUUUGAGAGGCAACACUCAUUAUGUAUCUUAAGAAUAGGUGCACAUUUAAAUACACAAUAAAAUACGGAUUUAGAUAGCAUUGUGAGAAGUUUUUUAAAGGAGUAGCUGAAUAAUAAAGGUAAAGGGAC